AUGCCCGCUUUGGCAGCACAUAUACUAAAAUUGGAAUAAUACAGAAAAGAUUAGCAUGGUCCCUGCAAAGGAAGGCAUGCAAAUUCGUGAAGUCUUCUACAUCCUU
ensembl:snRNA U6 U6 spliceosomal RNA